AAAUAUUUACUAAAAAAAACUCAAUAUUUCGCCCUUUUUCUUGCAUCAUACAGGAAAAAACACUACCUUUGCAACUAAAUUUAUAAGAAUUAAGUUAGCAUUCAUCGUAAAACCACAUGGAUGUCUGAGGGGAGCUGCUUUUAGUACGAGAGGACCGAAGUGGACGAACCUCUGGUGUACCAGUUAUCCUGCCAAGGGUAAGUGCUGGGUAUCUAAGUUCGGAAGGGAUAACCGCUGAAAGCACCUAAGCGGGAAGCCCACCUCAAGAUGAGACAUCCCUGGGGAUUUAAUCCCCCUGAAGGAUCCGGAGACACUAUCCGGUUGAUAGGCUGCAGGUAUAAGCGCGGUGACGCGUUCAGCCGAGCAGUACUAAUAAUCCGUGAGGCUUGGCCAU
rnacentral:rRNA from 1 species